CCCAUGGCUUCUCUUCUCUCAUUCUUUCCCGCGUUCCACUUCUCUCCCGCACGACUCCUUCCCUCUUCUCCUUCUCUUCGUUAAAAGCUUCUUUUCUCCAGUCCCAAUCGAUAAAAACCCACCCAGCACCGUGGCAGCUUUCACUCCUUCUCCUGGCAAGUAUAAUUUUGAGGGGAGAUUUGAUUUGGUUCGGUUUAUCAAGACGAUUCAGAAAGCUGGGCUAUACGUGCAUCUUCGCAUUGGACCUUAUGUUUGUGCAGAGUGGAAUUUUGGGGGGUUUCCUGUUUGGUUGAAGAAUGUUCCAGGCAUUAACUUUAGAAUAGAUAAUGAGCCUUUCAAGGUCUCUCUCUCUCUCUCUUCUCAGUGUGUGUGUGUCUAAAAUAAAAACAGGUGAUCGAUGAACUGCACAUGUUUUCCGUUUGGCUAGAUCUGUUUAUGGUGAAGGGGUUUCAUGUCUUAGAAUUACACAUUUUUAGAUUUGGGUCUGUUUCAGUGAGUUUUUAU